UCACCCAGGCUGGAGUGCAGUGGUGCAAUCUUGGCUCACUGCAACGUCCGCUUUCUGGUUUCAAGCGAUUCUCCUGCCUCAGCCUCCUGAGUAGCUGGGAUUACGGGCACCCGCCACCACACCCAGCUAAGUUUUGUAUUU